UACGGAGGGUGCAAGCGUUAUCCGGAUUCACUGGGUUUAAAGGGUGCGUAGGUGGGUUGGUAAGUCAGUGGUGAAAUCCCCGAGCUUAACUUGGGAACUGCCAUUGAUACUAUCAGUCUUGAAUACCGUGGGGGUCGGCGGAAUAUGUCAUGUAGCGGUGAAAUGCUUAGAUAUGACAUAGAACACCAAUUGCGAAGGCAGCUGACUACGCGAGUAUUGACACUGAGGCACGAAAGCGUGGGGAUCAAACAGG
rnacentral:rRNA from 1 species